GUAUUAUUUUAUUUAUUUAUUUAUUUAAGUUGCCUAAUAAUCAGCUCAUGAGAGUUUUUACAUGCAUCACUUCUUUUAGCAAAGAACCGGCCAUACUAAACAUUGAUCACAAUACCAUCAUUACUUAUUAUCAUACCAAAAAUAUAUACAAAAAUCCUCUUAAAAUUGUUGUCUAAUCACUACUAAAAAUCAACUAUUACCUUGCAAUAACAUAUUAAAUCACAAUCAAUCUAACAAGGUCAUCAACUCUCAAGCCAUGUCUUGUUCUUAUCGCCACCAAAUUGUCUCCACGUCCCCUCAACACCACCACUCUAAUUUCUUUUGAUUGAAAUGCCUUCACCUCACCGCCUCCUCUAAACGGCAGUAUAGCUUAGAUCCAUCAAUGCCAAUCUAAUGCAGUACAACGUUGCUUCUAUUUCAGCUAAGUUGAGUUCCUCUAGAUUUGACACCCCCUCCCCCUCUUAAUCGGCAACUUUCUCUACUAAUCUCGAUCUACUCCUAUGUCCAAAACCAACAAUUUUUUUUCACUGUGUCUGCAACCAAAUCUGCCAUUGCUCGACUUCUUUGUCUAU
rnacentral:lncRNA from 1 species